rnacentral:lncRNA from 1 species
UCCACAACAGUCAUCAGCCAGAGAGCCUUGCUCUGCCCACUAUAUAAUCAUGGCUCAACCGAAACUCAUCUCAUACUUCUGAUUGGUAAUUAACUCUGAUAUCAAUUGUAACACCCUACUUUAGGGGUUCACCCAUUCUAGAGCUACUCUAGUUUUAACAUAUUUAACUCUCUUAACCUCUUGAAUGUAACCACCACCUAAAAUGCUGUAGUUAGGUUAAGAAGUUUAGUCAUAUUAUACUUUAUAUAUAGAACUAUUCUAGAUCCUGAGAUC